UACGUAUGGUGCAAGCGUUAUCCGGAUUUACUGGGCGUAAAGGGAGCGCAGGCGGCGCGCCAAGUCUGAUGUGAAACCCCGGGGCUCAACCCCGGGCAUGCAUUGGAAACUGGCGGGCUGGAGUGCCGGAGAGGUAAGCGGAAUUCCUAGUGUAGCGGUGAAAUGCGUAGAUAUUAGGAGGAACACCAGCGGCGAAGGCGGCUUACUGGACGGCAACUGACGCUGAGGCUCGAAAGCGUGGGGAGCAAACAGG
rnacentral:rRNA from 1 species